rnacentral:rRNA from 1 species
UACGUAGGGAGCAAGCGUUGUCCGGAAUCAUUGGGCGUAAAGCGCGCGUAGGUGGCUUCGUAAGUCCGUUGUGAAAGUCAAAGGCUCAACCUUUGAAAGCCGAUGGAUACUGCGGAGCUAGAGUACGGAAGAGGCGAGUGGAAUUCCCGGUGUAGUGGUGAAAUGCGUAGAUAUCGGGAGGAACACCAGUGGCGAAGGCGACUUCCUGGCCUGUUCUUGACGCUGAGGCGCGAAAGCUAGGGGAGCAAACGGG